rnacentral:lncRNA from 1 species
AGGAGCAGCAAGUUCUCUCAGAGUUCUUUGGUCAGCCAUAUUAAACUCAAUAGAAAAAAAACAACAAAGAAUGAGAAAACACAUCACUAAUUCAGCAAUGCAGCAACAAAUAGGAAAAUACCGACAAUGUCCCAAUUAAGAGCAGACAAUUGAAAUAUGUAAAAAACUAUUAAAAUAAAAGGGAAAAAAUACAAAAACACAAA